UACGUAGGGGGGCAAGCGUUGUCCGGAAUCAUUGGGCGUAAAGCGCGCGUAGGCGGCCCGGUAAGUCCGCUGUAAAAGUCCAGGGCUCAACCCUGGAAAGCCGGUGGAUACUGUCGGGCUUGAGUACGGAAGAGGCGAGUGGAAUUCCUGGUGUAGCGGUGAAAUGCGCAGAUAUCAGGAGGAACACCAAUUGCGAAGGCAGCUCGCUGGGACGUUACUGACGCUGAGACGCGAAAGCGUGGGGAGCAAACAGG
rnacentral:rRNA from 1 species